UUAAACUGAAGAGUUUGAUCAUGGCUCAGAUUGAACGCUGGCGGCAGGCUUAACACAUGCAAGUCGAGCGGAAACGAUGAUAGCUUGCUAUCAGGCGUCGAGCGGCGGACGGGUGAGUAACGCGUAGGAAUCUACCUAGUAGUGGGGGA
rnacentral:rRNA from 1 species